rnacentral:rRNA from 1 species
GACAGAGGGUGCAAACGUUGUUCGGAAUUACUGGGCGUAAAGCGAGUGUAGGCGGUCUGCUAAGUCGCGUGUGAAAGCCCCCGGCUCAACUGGGGAGGGUCACGCGAUACUGAUCGACUCGAAGGCAGGAGAGGGUAGUGGAAUUCCCGGUGUAGUGGUGAAAUGCGUAGAUAUCGGGAGGAACACCAGUGGCGAAGGCGACUACCUGGCCUGUUUCUUGACGCUGAGGCGCGAAAGCUAGGGGAGCAAACGGGG